AAAUUGAAGAGUUUGAUCAUGGCUCAGAUUGAACGCUGGCGGCAGGCCUAACACAUGCAAGUCGAACGGUAACAGGAAGCAGCUUGCUGCUUCGCUGACGAGUGGCGGACGGGUGAGUAAUGUCUGGGAAACUGCCCGAUGGAGGGGGAUAACUACUGGAAACGGUAGCUAAUACCGCAUAACGUCGCAAGACCAAAGAGGGGGACCUUCGGGCCUCUUGCCAUCGGAUGUGCCCAG
rnacentral:rRNA from 1 species